rnacentral:lncRNA from 1 species
CUUUCACGGGACACGGCUUCCAAAUUUUCAGAAUCUCCAAGAAAUGGAGCAGAGAAGGAAAAUUCCCAAUUUCACUUUUAGUAUUUAGAAAAGUGUUGGAAAAUAAAAGUUCGAUUCAACGACUGCGUCAUCACUACAAACUAAGGUAGGAUCCCUACGUGAAGUUGUCGUUACAUGAAUUUAAUUUUCAAAUAAGCAUGUUAUUCGUUAUAUUUGCAUGAAGUAUAAAGUGCCUUUAGAGAUUUCCCUUAAAUUUCGAUGAAAGAAAGGUUUAUACAUGUUUAAACUGAUGGCCGCAGAGGCUUACCAGAACCUUAAGUAUAUAUGUUAAACUGAUGGUCGCAGAGGCUCAUCAGAACUUUAGGCAGAUCGUUUGAUCAUCGAUUUACAUAUAUAUGAAGGCAACAUGUAAGAAUGUAUGAUUAAAUGUAUGAAUAUGAAGUUCAUGUAGCACUUGUAGCCUACUAAGUAUUUCUUUGAGAUGUUCAUUCCUAUUUAACCAGUUUCAAAUUAAUUGGAGAUCCGGCGGCGAUUUGACAUGAAUGGCAUGUUUUAUUUUUAGAGAAAUUUAUUUUUUGUUUUAGAUUUGCCACUUUUCUGUUCAAUAUUCAUUGGUGCUCCGGAUAUUGUAGUUCGAAUUCAUGUUUUGAGACAAACAGUUUUUUUUUUUAAAUGUUUGUUUGUGUUUCCAGUUUUUGCUUCCAAGUUUAAAAAUUCAUCCAGACCUAAAUACUUGGAAUUUUGAGGUGACUCCAGCUGGAAAAGAUAGCCUUAUGAGUUAUCUAUCCAUCUGAUUUGAAAUCAUGAAUUUUGGAUCUACAAAACUCAAGUUAUGAAUAUUUUCCCAAGAGCCGUCAGAUUGUACCCGGGAACAGAAUUUCCCCGGUUUAGAAAGAAUUUUUUACCAAUCUAUUGAUUUAAUUUAUCUACUAAAUUUUAACCUGUAAUUCCCCUAUGUGUAUAAUGUCUACAGUUAAAAUUUUGUAAAUUUUGGACUUUAUUUAUGUGUCAAACGAGAUUUAUUUCACAAAGUCAUACAAGCUGAAGUCAAAACCUUCUGCACGAAAAUUUUCAUAAAUUUUGUGACAAGUUCCUCAGAGCCUUAAUGUUUUUAUUACAAGUUAAGCUGCUACAAUUUAUGAACCAUUAGGGAGAAUUUUAUAAAUUUUGGGUCUUUGUAAUGUCACGAGUUCCGGGAGCUCGGGGCGUUAUAGGUAUUUGUAACGACUCGGGUCUCUGUAUCCAAAUCGUUCGGUUACGUACUGCCCGCUUUUGAUUGGCCUUGCGUCCACUUACCCCUCACGGUUUUCUAUCGCGUCCUCUAGGAUUCAAACUCAUAAUAUUUCUUUUAAGUAAGACUUAAGUGGAAUCCUAGUACCAAUUGGGUGCUUGGGUAUAAAGACCCAGGUCGUCACAAAAAGUUGUUCAAUUGGCACCAAGAUUCAACUUAAAUCUUACUUAAGGGAAAUGUUAUAAGUUCGAAUCCUGGAGAAUGCGACAGAAAGCCGUUAGGGUUAAGUGGGCACAAGUUCCACCCAAAACGGACAGUACUUAAGCUAACGGUUUGGGUACAGAGACCCGAGUCAUUACAAAAAAAAGAUGUGUUUUAUCGUAACGACCCGGGUCUCUGUACCCAAGCCUUUAGCUUACGUACUGUCCGCUUUAGAUGGGCUUUGCUCCCACUUACCCCUCAUGAUUUUCUGUCGCGUCCCCCAGGAUUUGAACUCAUAACUUGUCCAAUUGGUAACAGGAUUCAACUUAAGUUUUACUUAAGGGAAAUAUUAUAAGUUCGAAUCCUAGGGGAUGUGACAAAAAGCCUUAAGGGGUAAAUGGGCACAAGAUCCAUUCAAAGUGGACAAUACGUAAACUAAUAGUUUGAGUACGGGGACCCGGGUCAUUACAAGUAGGGCACCUAUUGAUUAAGUAACUAAAAGUUUUUGUAGCUUACCCCAAAAUAUCUCAAGAACAGCAGAACUUAGGAGUAUACAUCUAAUUUUUUCAAGAAUAGUCUUGUUCAUUCUCUCAGCUAAGCCAUUUGUUGUGGGGGUGUGUGUGUCACUGUUCUGUAUAUCAGUAUUCCUUGCAUUUUGCACCUCUCAUCAAAUUGAAGAUUGCAAAAUUUCAAGCUAUUAUCUAUUCUUAGUACUUUAAUCCUUUUAUCAAACUGAUUUUCAAUCAGUAUUCUUCAUUCUUUGAAGGCAUUGAAAGUGUCAAAUUUUGAUCUUAGGAGAAAAUCCAUUUUUUUUCUAGAAUAAUCAUCAACAAUCAAAAGAAAAGUACUUAAAACCAGUAUAAGGAGGCACAGAAGCUGGUCCUCAAAGAUCAGCAUGCAAGUAUUCAAGUAUUGACUCAGAUUUAUGCAUUCCAGGUAAGAAUGAAAAUCUAUUAUGCUUCUUUAGAAUGCAAUAAUACCAAAACUGAGUUUCUCAAUAUUAUCCUUUCCAAAAACACCUUGUUUUUUAAGAAUCGACAAUCCUUUGUCACUAACAUGGUCUAACCUCUUAUGCCAUGUUUGUGACUAUCAUUUGGAACAGAAAUUGCUGCUAAAGUGGAAUAAAUAAAAUUUUGUGGUUUGUUAAAUGUAAAGACCAUGUCUCUUGGGGGGCUUCUAUAAUCAACUGAGAUGCCCUGAAGAUUUUGAUGUAUCCCUUAUUGAUUAUGAUAUGGUAUUUUAGGUCAUCUAGGACAAUUAAAAAAAUAAGGUUUCUUUGUAGAUAAGGUACGUACCUGAUCUUUUCUAAGAUAAGUUCAUUAUCACCUUUUACUUUUAAGGUGAUAGUUCCCAUUCCCUUAACUUAACAUGUCAUAUCAUUACCUAUUAAAACUUUGCCUCCCUUCACAUUUUUCAAAGUCAAUGAACCACUCUCUAUUUUGACACGUACGAAAUGUGUAGCCUAAGUCAAGAAUCGAUUCUUGACUAGGUGGACUGCUUAUAGCAACAUAAACUUCAUCAAUAUUGGGCUAAUUAUUAUAAGAUAAGGCUGCACCACCAUCCAUUUUAGACAUGUUCUUCAAAUCAUAAAGUCUUUUGGGACAAUCUUUAUAAAAUGACCCUCUUCUUGACAAUAAAAACAUUUCUUACCUUUUGUCUUUACUUUCAUUUUAUCUUUAUUGUUUCCCGUCUUUCUGUGUCCAAAUUUUUUAUUGAAAUUAACAUUUUUGGGACUAGUUUUGAAUUUUGUCAUUAAGUUUUCCCGACUAUCAUAUUCUUUUCUUUUAGUUCUUAACUCUAACUCUUUGUUUCUUAAGGCAUUAAUUAUCACAUCAGUUGUUAGAGUUCCCUCUCAUACUCAAUAGCAUUUUUAAAAUCUUUGUAUUUAUCACCAAUUGAGUUCAAUAAGACUACAACCAACUGAUCUUUUGAGAUUUUCUCAUCACAGUUGGCUAAGUCAUGUGAUAAUCUAUUGAAUCUUUCAAUGUUAACUUCAAGAUCUAAAGUUGGGUCCAGUUUAAAAGCAAAAAAUUAUUUUAGAAGAUACACUUUAUCAGGUAUGGUUUUAUUCAAAUAUGUAUCUUCUAAUUUUUUCCACAAUUCAGUAGCGGUUUUUGUUUCACCAAUUUUUCUCAGUACAUUAAUCAGACAAAUGCAGAAAAAUAGAGCUCUAUGCAGUUUCAUCAAGUUCAAUUCUCUUGUUUUUUUCUAAAUCAGCAGGCCAUGUCUCAUCAGUGGCUUUUGCACAUUUUUGUUGAAGUAAAAUAACUCUCAUUUUUUAACGCUAGAGACUAAAGUCUCCUUUACCAUUAAAAAUGUCCAAUUCAAAUUUUGUAGAAGUUAUUUAAAACAGAUUUGAAUGUUCACAGUACAUGCUGAUCACCUAGACACCACAAGAUUAUGCACAACUUGUAUAAACAAAAAAUUUAGCAAUGUUACAGCAGUUUAUUAACACAAAGAAAAAUGAUUCAAUUAGUGAAGGAUACCUUAUCACAAAGAACAAGUAAAAGUCACAGCAAGAUAUAUGCAACAAUCAAGAACACAUGCAGGAAUUUAAAUCUAGAUCUUUGACUUAAAUCAAGACAACCUUCAGAUUCUAGACAACUCUUAAGGUUUCUGGACAAAAGUAUUGCUGAUAACGUCUCAAAGCUAGAGUUUGAAACAUGUUUACAACAGUACUGCAAGUACAGCAAGUAUUUUUUACUGGAAAUUGUAAAACAAGAACAAUCUCACUAGAUCUCUUUAUUAGGGUUUCAAGAAAUAGCGGAAACACGACUGAACCGGUGUAAACUUUCAGAUCUACCAUACUCAAGACCAAGAACAUUCGUUUAACAGCUCUGAUACCAUUUUUAAUAUUAUUCUUUCAAUUAGAGAUUUUAAUCAACAACAAAUAAAAUGUGCAGAAACAAAAAAAUACAAAAAUAAAUUCAAAAGCACAAGAUUUUCACCCUAAGGCAAGACGUUCAGAACACAAAUGUUUCUAAUCCCCUUUUGAGUUUCAGCGAUCUGAAGAAAUCACUUGUAUUAGGAAACCAGAAACAUGAAAUCAUCUUAAAUAUACAACACCAAGGCACUCAAAAUGAAUCACUCAAGAUUACAUUAUAAAACCGUUCAAUCUAUACAUCUACAUUUGCUCAAGAACACAUGACUCAAUCAGAUUUACAAAUCCCUCAAAAGAUGUAAAGAAUUUACGAGAGAGUCUUAAGAAACUUGAAAGGCAGAGAAAAAAAUGAAUCAUCCAUCAAACCCUAGGCAGAGAAGUGAGUAUAUAAGAAGUCACUAGAAGGUCACGCAUCUAACGGUCAUUAGAGUGACUCUACACAUCAUAUGAUCAAUUAAAGAAGUCGUAUUUCCAGAAAAAACACAUUUUAAGAAUUGCAAAGAGUCAAAUAAUCUGGUAAAUGGACCUACAUAGCAAACCAGUCAGCCUUUAAAAUAGUCUACAUCAUUGUGUCAUAAACUGCACAACAAGUAAUCCUUGUGGGGUGCGACCAGGAAUGUCAUUUGCAAACUUAGUGCUAGAAAGAGAUCCUUGCCUCAGGAUGAUCGGUUUGGUCCAUUGUGCUAUUGGUGGAGCUAAUAUAACCGAGUGGAAAUGAGGCUCCGAUCUUUGUAAUCGGAUCUUGAAGAGGUCUUAUGCAGCACUACAAAAUGUAGGAAAAAUUCGAGCAAUUUUGUAAUAUCGAAGUGAAAGUGAUUCCACAUAUGAAACAAGGGCUAAAAUGUAUAAGAUGAGGUUGAUAGAAUUUUUCCUUGACAUCCGGGAAGAUUUAGCUUCCCCAGCGCUCCCACUUGUUCAGGUAUGAUUACUUUACAAAUUUUCGUAAGGUUAACUGAUAUUCCUAAGAUCUGAUAUAAUUUUUCUUCUUCAUCAUUUUCUUAAUCAAUCAAAUGGGGUUUUAAUUUUUGAGCAAAUUAAUUUUUUAAAAAUCUUUUUGAUUGUUCAUUUUCGUUGCACAAAUGGAUUCAGCAUUUUAAUUCCAUUGAUAAACAUUUGCUAUUGGCCUGAUUUUUUUACUUUCAUUUCUAACAAUGUUCUGGUAAUUUUUGUUUUCAGAUCGAUUUUUCUAAAAAUGCGGUAUUCAGUUCGUCAUUAAAGAGUUUUACUCUAAAAAUGGGUGGAAAUUAGUUGCCAAUUGGUUUUAUUGUAUUUAUACCUAACAGUUUCUUGGACAUUUAAAGUUCCUUAAGCAUCUCUGCUACAUUUUGAUACAACUUCUGAAGUUUUGUCAACAUGACUAGUAUUUGUUUUCUUUCUUCAGUUUUCUCAUAUAUAAGUCAAUUAAUUGUAUCUUGUCAGUACAUUCAAUAUCUUAUAUCAAAUAAAUCACAAAAUUAUAUGAUAACUGGUUGCAGGUGGCAUUGGCUUCAGAUGCAGGACCCUACUUCCAAAUGUGGUAUGUGAGGAUGCUAUGGGACUGGAGGUGAAGAAAAAUGAUAAACUGCACCUUACCACCUCGGCUCAAGUCCAACUAGGAAAUAUGGUGUCUAGUGUCUUUCUUCGGAUUGGAAUUUAGAGGAUUGAUCAGGGCAUGAUUUGAAAGUUUUCAAUUUAUUUAAAUAUUACAAAGCAAUAAAGACAUGCACGUG